ACGGCUCAGUAACACGUGGACAACCUACCCUGAGGUCGGGGAUAAACCCGGGAAACUGGGUAUAAUACCCGAUAGAUCUAGAUCGCUGGAAUGCUUUUAGGUCUAAAGUUCCGACGCCUCAGGAUGGGUCUGCGGCCUAUCAGGGUAGUAGUGGGUGUAAAGUACCUACUAGCCUACGACGGGUACGGGUUGUGAAAGCAAGAGCCCGGAGAUGGAUUCUGAGACACGAAUCCAGGCCCUACGGGGUGCAGCAGGCGCGAAACCUUUACAAUGCUGGCAACAGCGAUAAGGGGACCUCGAGUGCUACGAUACAAUCGUGGCUGUCUAGUUGCCUAAAAAGCAAUUGAUAGCAAGGGCCGGGCAAGACCGGUGCCAGCCGCCGCGGUAACACCGGCGGCUCGAGUGGUAACCGCUAUUAUUGGGUCUAAAGGGUCUGUAGCCGGCUUAGUUAGUCUCUUGAGAAAUCUGGCCGCUCAACGGUCAGGCGUUCAGGGGAUACUGCUAAAGCUCGAGACCGGGAGAGGUGAGAGGUACUUCAGGGGUAGGGGUGAAAUCUUGUAAUCCUUGAAGGACCACCAGUGGCGAAGGCGUCUCACCAGAACGGAUCUGACGGCAAGGGACGAAAGCUAGGGGCACGAACCGGAUUAGAUACCCGGGUAGUCCUAGCCGUAAACGAUACUCGCUAGGUGUCGGCCACGGUGCGACCGUGGUCGGUGCCGUAGGGAAGCCGUGAAGCGAGCCACCUGGGAAGUACGGCCGCAAGGCUGAAACUUAAAGGAAUUGGCGGGGGAGCAC
rnacentral:rRNA from 1 species